rnacentral:misc_RNA from 1 species
UCUCCGUAGGUGAACCUGCGGAGGGAUCAUUACAGAGUUCAUGCCCUUACGGGUCGAUCUCCACCCUAUGUUAUCGUUACCUUUGUUGCUUUGGCGGGCCGUCAGGCCUCGGUCAGACUACCGGCUCCGGCUGGUAAGUGCCCGCCAGAGGAUAUCAAACCUUGAAUUUAAUGUCGUCUGAGUACUAUAUAUUAGUUAAAACUUUCAACAACGGAUCUCUUGGUUCUG